CCCUUAGAUGUUCUGGGCCGCACGCGUGCUACACUGAACGGUUCAAUGGGUAAGGUAGUGCGAAAGCAUGACCUAAUCUCGAAAUCCGUUCGUGCUGGGGAUAGAAGCUUGCAAUUAUCCUUCUUGAACGAGGAAUACCUUGUAAGCGUGAGUCAUCAUCUCACGCUGAAUACGUCCCUGCCCUUUGUACACACCGCCCGUCGCUCCUACCGAUUGAGUGUUCCGGUGAGGCUUCGGGAGAACUGGGUGGAUUGUGUUCCACAAACUGCUCGGUUUGAACUUAGUCAAACCUUAUCACUUAGAGGAAGGAGAAGUCGUAACA
rnacentral:rRNA from 1 species